rnacentral:antisense_RNA from 1 species
AUUUCUUAAAAUAUUUUUUUGUUUAUUUAGAGCUUCUUCUUUUUUCUGUAUGAU